rnacentral:rRNA from 1 species
CAAGUCUUGACAUCUGGGUGACAGGAGGGAAAUGCCUCUUUCUCUUCGGAGCAUCCAAAACAGGUGGUGCAUGGUUGUCGUCAGCUCGUGUCGUGAGAUGUUGGGUUAAGUCCCGCAACGAGCGCAACCCUUAUCUUCAGUAGCCAGCGGAAGAAGCCGGGCACUCUGGACAGACUGCCAGGGACAACCUGGAGGAAGGAGGGGAUGACGUCAAAUCCUCAUGCCCCUUAUGACUUGGGCUACACACGUGCUACAAUGGCGUAAACAAAGGGAGGCCAGCGAGCGAUCGUAAGCAAAUCUCAAAAAUAACGUCUAAUGUCGGAUCGUACUCUGCAACUCGACUACGUGAAUCUGGAAUCGCUAAUAAUCGCGAAUCACCAUGUCUCGGUGAAUACGUUCCC